rnacentral:snRNA from 1 species
GGAUGUGAGGACAAUCUUGCUGUCACAUCCGUCACCUCAUUGAUUGCCAGAUCUGAUUUGGCUGAUCAGGGUUGAUCCUGUUGAUCUGGCUGGCUACACAGUGUCCCUGCCUCCCUCACUGCCCCACGUGCAUCCCUCCCUGAAGCUGCACACUCGGUAGAAGAAGACAACCACCGUCAAUCCAGGAGGACCUCCUUCUCUGUCAAGGGUAUAUGAGAGCUGUGCUCCCCUAUUAACCCCCAUAGGAUUCUAAUGAUACAGGAAAUAAUGGCAAGAAUCAACACACAGGACUACGU